GCCUUUAUUCGGAGGAAAGGAUCAGCACCCACCCCCACCCUCCAAUACACAGGCUGGAACCCGGGAAGAAGGCAGCUGGUAGAGGAGCAAGGGAGGCAAAGCGAUGCCGAGCUUGGAGAUAAAUGUCUGCAAUUCCAGCUGGAGCAGGAAGAUUAGGAAUUCAGCCCUGGCUCUGGCUACACAGAGACCCUGCUCUCAGAAGACUUCCAGUAGCGCUGACUGUUAUUGUCCUGUUAUUUGUACUUUGGACCUACAUGACCUGUAGGUUUCCCUAUCAUGGUAUUAGUUCUGGUUCACCUUUUUGGUCUAUUUAUAUUUUAGAAAGAUCCAUUAUAUGUAGAUGCAUGUUCUGUCUACAUGUAUUUCUGUGCACCACUUGCAUGCCUGGUGCCACAGAGGUAGAAGAGGGCAUUGGAAUCCCCUGGAACUGGAGUUACAGAUGAUUGUGAGCCACCACGUGGACGCUGGGAAGUGACUUAUGUCCCUCUGUAAGAUAACCACUGAGCCAUCCCUCCAGCCCCACUUUUUGUGUUUAUUGUGUAUUGUGUUAUUAUGUAUUACAUUGUGUGUGGCCCAUGUGCGGAGGUCAGAUGAUAUUCCUUCCCCUGCCUUCCUGGGGACUGAUGUUAGGGUCGUCAGGCUUGGUAGCAAGCAUCUCUACCCACAGAGCCAUCUCUCUGGACCUUGGGAAAAUGAUCUGUAUAGCAUCUAGCCAGUAUACCCUGAUGUAUAUCAUAAAGGACCAACCUGGUGGCUGGAGGCAUCAUACAGGAAGUUGGCCCAGUUGGGAUCAGUCUGCAUGAAUCUGAACUCAAACAGUUCCCGCAGACACAACCUCAGGAGCUGAAAGCAGAUCUGGAGGAACAAGAAGACAUGCCGGUGAGGUGUCCUGCCCGUCCUCCUGCCCGGGAAGGAAAGUGAACGCCUGACUCUUCCUGGUCCCAUUCCACAGGAGAUGUACCUGAUUCCGGAUGUCCUGGCUCAGGCCCUGGCACUGGUCUAGAGGGAUUCCCCCAGCCAGCUCCAUGCCCAGCACCCGUGUAGUGCAUAGCUCCUGCACCACAGCCGGCACUCGGAAGAAGGGGUCGUCAGCCAAGAGCUUCCUGGGACAGGAAAAGGGCGAGGGAUGAGAAAGACUUCAUGCUUUAGAGCCCAGAGGCUUGGUUUGAACUGGCUCUUUUACUGAGAAGCCCUUUAGGCCAUCUUGUUCUAGGCUUUCCUCCCCUUCCCUCCAAUCCCCUUCUCUGGCUUGGCUGCCUUGGGUGACAGCCAAUACCUGGCUGGGCUGGCAUUUAUUAGACACUGUAGAACUGUGUAGUCUUUUAACUGGGUGUAGCUGGAGACCCACUUACUACUUCCCUCCUACUAACCCUUCUGACCUUCUUCUGGUUACUUGACGAUGAGCUCAGAGUAUUUAGUUCACACAUCACUUUAAAAAAUAGCUAUUUUAUGGCCAGUGAGAUGGCUUAAGAGGAUAAAGGCACUUGUCCCAAAGCAUAUGACCUGAGUCUGAUCCCAGGGCCCACAUAUUCUUAAAAGUUGUCCUCUUGAUUCCCACAUAUGUGCAACAACAUGAACAACAUGUGUACACUGGCAUGUACACACAUGUACACACACAUACUAAGUAAUAAACAUUAUAAAUUUUUUAUUGAAGAGUUUUUACUCUAUGGCUCUACAGUGAUAAUCACUGGUCACUCCUUGGGGUCACUAGAGAAUCCUAUUCCAACAUUUCAGUUACCUGUGGUAAACCUUGGUCUAAAAAAUAUUAAAUGGAGAAUUCUAAGCUGGACAUGGUAGUGUGUGUCUAUAAACCUAGCAUUGGAAGAUGGAGGAAGACGGUCUGGGCCUCAGAGCCAACUCCUGUGACACACAGCAUGUUCUAGGCCAGCCAGGGUACAUAAGAUUCUGUUUCAAAAACAAUCAAGAGAAAAGGGGGGCAGGGGAUAGGGGCAGGUGGGCUGGAGAGAUGGCUUAGUGGUUAAGAGCACUGGCUGCUCUUACAGAGGACCUGGGUUCCCACAAUGGUGGCUCACAAUCUGUUAACUCCGGUUCCAGGAAAUCUGAUGCCCUCUUCUGGCCUCUGAGAGUACUGCAUGUACAUACACACAUACAAACAAGCAAAACAUCCAUCUAAUAAAAAGAAAUCUC
rnacentral:lncRNA from 1 species